rnacentral:rRNA from 1 species
AGAACGAACGCUGGCGGCAGGCCUCAAACAUGCAAGUCUAGGGGGCGUAGCAAUACGUCACCGGCGGACGGGUGCGUAACACGUGGGAAUGUACUUACUGGUUCGGAACAACUCAGGGAAACUUGAGCUAAUACCGAAUGUGCCCGAAAGGGGAAAGAUUUAUCGCCAGUAAAUCAGCCCGCGUCCGAUUAGCUAGUUGGCGGGGUAAAGGCCCACCAAGGCGACGAUCGGUAGCUGUUCUGAGAGGAAGAUCAGCCACACUGGGACUGAGACACGGCCCAGACUCCUACGGGAGGCAGCAGUUGGGAAUCUUGGACAAUGGGGGAAACCCUGAUCCAGCCAUGCCGCGUGAGUGAUGAAGGCCUUCGGGUUGUAAAACUCUUUCGACGGGGACGAUAAUGACGGUACCCGUAGAGAAGCUCCGGCUAACUUCGCGCCAGCAGCCGC